rnacentral:rRNA from 1 species
AUUGAACGCUGGCGGCAGGCCUAACACAUGCAAGUCGAACGAGUGGCGGACGGGUGAGUCAUGUCUGUGAACCUGCCUUAUGGAGGGGGUUAACUCCUGGAAACGGUAGCUAAUACCGCAUACCAUCGGCUUUGCCCAGAUGGGAUUAGCUAGUAGGUGGGGUAACGGCUCACCUAGGCGACGAUCCCUAGCUGGUCUGAGAGGAUGAACAGCCACACUGGAACUGAGACACGGUCCAGACUCCUACGGGAGGCAGCAGUGGGGAAUAUUGCACAAUGGGCGCAAGCCUGAUGCAGCCAUGCCGCGUGUAUGAAGAAGGCCUUCGGGUUGUAAAGUACUUUCAGCGGGGAGGCGUUACCCGCAGAAGAAGCACCGGCUAACUUCGUGCCAGCAGCCGCGGUAAUUC